CAAGAUCAUGACCUCAGAUGAAGGCAGACGCUUAACCGACUGAGCCAACCAGGCGCCCCAGUUCUGGUACCCAGUAAGCAAGACUAUGAGUAUUUUUCCAGAAGAACACAUGCACAGGGUGGCAGAAUAUAAGAAAAAGUUGCAUCAAAGCUCAGAGCUAGGGCAAGGUCCACAGUAUCCUGUUCUAUACAAGCUUGUGAUACCAGUGCCUGCACAAAGGGUAUUGUAAACACUUGCAAUUACAAUGCAAUUACUAUUUGUCAAGCAACCUAUUUGUUAAGUUUCUGUUAGACAGUUUAAGUGAAGGAAGUCGGCUGCCUCUAAGAACUCACACGAUAAAGAUCAGCUUCUUUCAAGUUAAAAGAUCCUAAGAAGAAAAGAACCCUUCUGUAUCUGUUCUCCCUUUUCUCUACCCCACACCUCCUACCCAGGUAAGAUUACGACUCUUACCUGGACAUACAAAAUAUAGUAUUUUCUGGACUCCAUCCAGUUAGGUUGGAACCUUAACACUGAGUUCUGUACAAUGGAAGUGAUAAAAUCUACUUUCAGGUU